CCUGAACGCUGGCGGCGUGGCUAAGACAUGCAAGUCGUACGGGCCCGCAAGGGCCAGUGGCGGACGGGUGAGUAAAGUAUCGCUAAACGUACCCCAGAGUCUGGGAGUAGCCGGUCGAAAGGCCGGGUAAUACCAGAUGACAUGACCGCGGGGCAUCCCGCGGUUCUCAAAGGGCAACCACUUUGGGAGCGGGCGAUAUCGUAUCAGCUAGUUGGCGGGGUAACGGCCCACCAAGGCGACGACGCGUAGCUGGUCUGAGAGGACGGCCAGCCACAUCGGGACUGAGACACUGCCCGGACUCCUACGGGGGGCUGCAGUAACGAAUCUUCCGCAAUGCACGCAAGUGUGACGGAGCGACCGCCGCGUGGAGGACGAAGUCCUUCGGAGU
rnacentral:rRNA from 1 species